UUCCCGCAGCCAUGAUCAUACGCACUUAAAUAGGACAUGGAGGACACUUUUCCGUGGCUCAUUUUCAUGUCAGCCAGAUCUCCAUCCAGGACAUCCUGAGGCCCUCCUCAGACCUUCCCUGUUGUUUCCGCCCACCACUGGGUGAAGUGGGUCCAUAGCAGGUGGGAUGCUGGGAGGGAGCUGAAAAGAGACUUCCUGAUUAAGAACGAGGGGCACAAACAUGGACAGAUGUUUUCCAAACCCUAUCUGGCCCAAACCUUCCAGCUACCAUCAACCCCUCCCAUCUACCAUUCAGAACAGAGGCGUGAUGAGUCUGGAGGAUCUGUGACCAUGACAACGAGGAGUUCAAACAAAUCCACACGGACUACAAGGUAUGUUCAAGGACACACAACACAACCAACGAAGGAGGAGUUUGAUGUGAU
ensembl:lncRNA